rnacentral:rRNA from 1 species
CAGUAGCCGCGGUAAUACAGAGGGUGCGAGCGUUAAUAGGAUUUACUGGGCGUAAAGCGUGCGUAGGCGGCUUUUUAAGUCGGAUGUGAAAUCCCUGAGCUUAACUUAGGAAUUGCAUUCGAUACUGGGAAGCUAGAGUAUGGGAGAGGAUGGUAGAAUUCCAGGUGUAGCGGUGAAAUGCGUAGAGAUCUGGAGGAAUACCGAUGGCGAAGGCAGCCAUCUGGCCUAAUACUGACGCUGAGGUACGAAAGCAUGGGGAGCAAACAGGAUUAGAUACCCCAGUAGUCCCUGUCUCUUAUAC